rnacentral:tRNA from 1 species
GGCUUUUUAGUUUAUUUUGAAUUUUCUGUUUACGAUAGGAGGGUGGGAAAGGCUU